UGAGGGCGGACUUUUAAUUUUGAGCAAAAAAAGGACAGACGCUAGUUGCGAGUCGAGGGUGGACUUGCAACUAGGACAAAAAUUGUGGUGACCCUGUUGUGAGUCAAGAGUGCAAUUGCAAUCGUUAAAAAAGGUCGGGCCUAGUUGCGACUCAAGGAUGGACUUGCAACUUAAAAAAAUGUCAGACCCUAGUUGUAAGUUGAGGGUGGACUUGCAACUAAGAUAAAAAUGAUUAGGUCCUAGCUACAAGUCGAGGGGGGUAUUGCAACUGAGAGAGAAAAAGUCAGGUCCCUAAUUGCAAGUGAAGGGUGGACUUGCAGCUAGGAAAAAAGUCAGGCCCUAGUUGCAAGUCGACAAUGGAUUUGCAACUAGGACAAAAAAGGCCGAGUCCUAGUUGCGAGUCGAAAGCGAACUUGCAACUGGAACAAAAAAAAUCGGAUCCGAGUUGCGAGUUGAAGGCGUACUUGCAAGUAGGACAAAAAAAUCAGGCCCCAAUUUAUGAGUUGAGUGUGGACUUGCAACUAAGCCAAAAAAAUUCACGCCAAUUUAUAAGUCAAGGGCGGACUUGCAGAUGAGACAGAAAGGAUCGAGUCUUAGUUGUGAAUCGAUGAUGGACUUAUAAUUAUGACAAAAAAGGGCUAACUAUGAGUUGAGGGCCAACAAAAGCGGAGUCGAAUAGACCUAGACCAACGACAUGAUACACAAUAAACAAACAACAACAAGCGAAGCGGAAGGUAUGACACUUGCAUGAAAAUUGCGGAAACUAAAUCAAAUGGUGAAUUUAAAAAUUCUUAUAAAAUUUAAAAAACAUUGAUUUAAAAAGAAAAAAAGAACAGAAAAAAAUUAAAACCAAAA
rnacentral:lncRNA from 1 species